rnacentral:rRNA from 1 species
UAGGGAAUCUUCGGCAAUGGACGGAAGUCUGACCGAGCAACGCCGCGUGAGUGAAGAAGGUUUUCGGAUCGUAAAGCUCUGUUGUAAGAGAAGAACGAGUGUGAGAGUGGAAAGUUCACACUGUGACGGUAUCUUACCAGAAAGGGACGGCUAACUACGUGCCAGCAGCCGCGGUAAUACGUAGGUCCCGAGCGUUGUCCGGAUUUAUUGGGCGUAAAGCGAGCGCAGGCGGUUAGAUAAGUCUGAAGUUAAAGGCUGUGGCUUAACCAUAGUACGCUUUGGAAACUGUUUAACUUGAGUGCAAGAGGGGAGAGUGGAAUUCCAUGUGUAGCGGUGAAAUGCGUAGAUAUAUGGAGGAACACCGGUGGCGAAAGCGGCUCUCUGGCUUGUAACUGACGCUGAGGCUCGAAAGCGUGGGGAGCAAACAGGAUUAGAUACCCUGGUAGUCCACGCCGUAAACGAUGAGUGCUAGGUGUUGGAUCCUUUCCGGGAUUCAGUGCCGCAGCUAACGCAUUAAGCACUCCGCCUGGGGAGUACGACCGCAAGGUUG